AGUGCAGUGCCAGGGAAUCGGACCAAGAUUUUGGGGAUGACUGCGAAAGUACACAUUGGUCACUAUCAAACAGGUAUGUGUCAAUUCACCCAACUCUAUCCCACUGGAAGCAAAUUUACAGACUACAGAGUAGUCAUUGGAUGGACUCUGGCAUAUUUAAUAGUGGGUUCGACAAAGUAAUCAUGGACUGAAAACUUUGGAUUCAGUUUUGUUGCUACUGUAAAUAGUAUGAGGCUUUCAAUAACAGUGACUGCCUGUAUUAGCCAGCAGUGUUUAUUAUUCCAUCAUUACGAGCUACACAGCUGCAGCAAGAAAUGAAUAAUGUGACAACAUCAAUGUGCAACUCCUUUCUUUGGGAGUACGAGUGAAAAAUGUGUGUUCUCUUCGGUAGUUUUUCAGUUCCUGCAACAAGCAGCCACACGGCUGC